CUACCAUGGCAAUAACGGGUAACGGAGAAUUAGGGUUCGAUUCCGGAGAGGGAGCCUGAGAAACGGCUACCACAUCUACGGAUAGGCAGCAGGCGCGUAAAUUACCCAAUCCUGAUUCAGGGAGGUAGUGACAAGAAAUAACAAACCGUAUUUAUACGGGAUUGCAAUGAGCCGAUUUUUUCUUCCCUUGGUGAGGAGCAAUUGGAGGGCAAGUCUGGUGCCAGCAGCCGCGGUAAUUCCAGCUCCAAUAGCAUAUAUUAAAGUUGUUGCAGUUAAAAAGCUCGUAGUUGGAUUUCUGCGAAGAGUCAAUGUAAGGUCCAGUCCUGAUCAGCGACCUCCUUCGCAUCCUUCUGUUAUCACCACUCGGCAUUCACUUGCCGGUGGCUGACUCAGAGAAUUUACCUUGAGAAAAUUAGAGUGUUUCAGGCAGGCUAGGCCGGAAUACAUUAGCAUGGAAUAAUAGAAUAGGACUACGGUCUCGUUGUUGGUUUGAGGGACUGCAGUAAUGAUUAAUAGGGAUAGUUGGGGGCAUUAGUAUUCAAUUGUCAGAGGUGAAAUUCUCAGAUUUGUUAAAGACUAACUUAUGCGAAAGCAUUUGCCAAGGAUGUUUUCAUUAAUCAA
rnacentral:rRNA from 1 species